rnacentral:rRNA from 1 species
GGCUCAGAACGAACGCUGGCGGCAGGCUUAACACAUGCAAGUCGAGCGCCCCGCAAGGGGAGCGGCAGACGGGUGAGUAACGCGUGGGAACCUACCUGAAGGUACGGAACAACUCCGGGAAACUGGAGCUAAUACCGUAUGUGCCCGAAAGGGGAAAGAUUCAUCGCCUUCAGAUGGGCCCGCGUCAGAUUAGCUAGUUGGUGAGGUAACGGCUCACCAAGGCGACGAUCUGUAGCUGGUCUGAGAGGAUGACCAGCCACACUGGGACUGAGACACGGCCCAGACUCCUACGGGAGGCAGCAGUGGGGAAUAUUGGACAAUGGGCGAAAGCCUGAUCCAGCCAUGCCGCGUGAGUGAUGACGGCCUUAGGGUUGUAAAGCUCUUUCGACGGGGACGAUAAUGACGGUACCCGUAGAAGAAGCCCCGGCUAACUUCGUGCCAGCAGCCGCGGUAAUACGAAGGGGGCUAGCGUUGUUCGGAAUUACUGGGCGUAAAGCGCACGUAGGCGGAUUGUUAAGUCGGGGGUGAAAUCCUGAGGCUCAACCUCAGAACUGCCUUCGAUACUGGCAAUCUCGAGUCCGGAAGAGGUUGGUGGAACAGCUAGUGUAGAGGUGAAAUUCGUAGAUAUUAGCUAGAACACCAGUGGCGAAGGCGGCCAACUGGUCCGGUACUGAC